rnacentral:misc_RNA from 1 species
GGAGACCCUUCUGCGCCUCGAUCCGCCGGGAUCCGGACUCCGAGGCCACUUUGGCAAGUAAACGGAGCCUAAGCCCCCGGACCCGCGCCAAGUUCACCGGUCUCUUCACCGGCAGCGGCCCUUCCACGCCCAAGAUGCAGCCCAACAACGCUCCUGGACUUCGCUGCCGGACGACCCCCAGCAGCCCUAGGCUGACCACUGCUCAGCCCUCCACCCUGCCACCGGUGUCUAGCGCGAA